GAUGAACGCUGGCGGCGUGCUUAACACAUGCAAGUCGAACGAAGCACUUUAACCUGAUUCUUCGGAUGAAGGUUUUUGUGUCUGAGUGGCGGACGGGUGAGUAACGCGUGGGUAACCUGCCUCAUACAGGGGGAUAACAGUUAGAAAUGACUGCUAAUACCGCAUAAGACCACAGAGCCGCAUGGCUCGGUGGGAAAAACUCCGGUGGUAUGAGAUGGACCCGCGUCUGAUUAGGUAGUUGGUGGGGUAACGGCCUACCAAGCCAAAGAUCAGUAGCCGACCGGGGAAGGUGAGCCGCCACAUUGGGACUGAGACACGGCCAAAACUCCUACGGGAGGAAGGAGUGGGGAAUAGUGCAAAAUGGGGGAAACCCUGAUGGAGCGGCGCCGCGUGAGCGAAGAAGUAUUUGGGUAAGUAAAGCUCUAUCAGCAGGGAAGAAAAUGACGGUACCUGACAAAGAAGCACCGGCUAAAUACGUG
rnacentral:rRNA from 1 species